CAUGUCCUUUUGAUAAAAAUUUAAGGUCUAAUCUGCUCAAUGAUAUUUAAAUAGCCGCAGUAUUUUGACUGUGCAAAGGUAGCAUAAUAAUUAGUUUCUUAAUUAGAAGCUGGAAUGAAUGAUUGGACAAGAAAAUUUCUGUCUCUUUCUUAAUUUUAUUGAACUUUAUUUUUAAGUGAAAAAGCUUAAAUUUAUAUAAAAGACGAGAAGACCCUAUAGAGUUUAAUAGUUAAUUUUAAUAAAUACUUAGAAUAUUAAUUUAAAAUUAAUUAUUUAGUUGGGGUGACUAAAAGAUUUAAAAAAUUCUUUUAAAAAUUAAGUUGAAUAUUUUCAAUUUUCUAAUCUAUAGUUUAUAAAAACUAAAAUAAAUUACCUUAGGGAUAACAGCGUAAUUUUUCUUAAAAGUUCUUAUUAAAAGAAAAGUUUGCGACCUCGAUGUUGGAUUAAAAUUAAUUUUUGGUGCAAUAACUUAAAAAUUAGGUCUGUUCGACCUUUAAAAUUUUACAUGAUCUGAGUUUAGACCGGUGUAAGCCAGGUCGGAUUCUAUCUUUAGAAAUUUAUUAUAUCUUAGUACGAAAGGACCAGUUAUAAGUUAAAUUAAUUGU
rnacentral:rRNA from 1 species